rnacentral:rRNA from 1 species
AUUGAACGCUGGCGGAAUGCUUUACACAUGCAAGUCGAACGGCAGCACGGAUUUCGGUCUGGUGGCGAGUGGCGAACGGGUGAGUAAUACAUCGGAACGUGCCCAGUCGUGGGGGAUAACGUAGCGAAAGCUACGCUAAUACCGCAUACGAUCUAAGGAUGAAAGCGGGGGAUCGCAAGACCUCGCGCGAUUGGAGCGGCCGAUGGCAGAUUAGGUAGUUGGUAGGGUAAAGGCCUACCAAGCCGACGAUCUGUAGCUGGUCUGAGAGGACGACCAGCCACACUGGGACUGAGACACGGCCCAGACUCCUACGGGAGGCAGCAGUGGGGAAUUUUGGACAAUGGACGCAAGUCUGAUCCAGCCAUUCCGCGUGCAGGAUGAAGGCCCUCGGGUUGUAAACUGCUUUUGUACAGAACGAAAAGGCUCUGGUUAAUACCUGGAGCUCAUGACGGUACUGUAAGAAUAAGCACCGGCUAACUACGUGCCAGCAGCCGCCGCCG